ACGUCGGUGGUGUGUUGGGUUACAUUUGUACACAUCUUUCCCCCUCCUCUUCGUAAGCGUGCACACUCGCUGAAAAUGUACGCUUAUGAAGAGAGGAGGGGGAAAGAUGUGUAAAGAGGUAUUAAAAAAAAAAA
rnacentral:miRNA from 1 species